rnacentral:rRNA from 1 species
CAGUCGCCGCGGUAAUACGAAGGGUGCAAGCGUUAAUCGGAAUUACUGGGCGUAAAGCGUGCGUAGGCGGUUUGUUAAGUCUGUUGUGAAAUCCCCGGGCCCAACCUGGGAAUGGCAAUGGAUACUGGCAAGCUAGAGUGUGUCAGAGGAUGGUGGAAUUCCCGGUGUAGCGGUGAAAUGCGUAGAGAUCGGGAGGAACAUCAGUGGCGAAGGCGGCCAUCUGGGACAACACUGACGCUGAGGCACGAAAGCGUGGGGAGCAAACAGGAUUAGAUACCCCUGUAGUCCCUGUCUCUUAUAC